CAGUAGCCGCGGGAAUACGUAGGGUGCAAGCGUUGUCCGGAAUUAUUGGGCGUAAAGAGCUCGUAGGCGGUCUGUCGCGUCGGCUGUGAAACCCGGAGGCUCAACCUCCGGCCUGCAGUCGAUACGGGCAGACUAGAGUUCGGUAGGGGAGACUGGAAUUCCUGGUGUAGCGGUGAAAUGCGCAGAUAUCAGGAGGAACACCGGUGGCGAAGGCGGGUCUCUGGGCCGAUACUGACGCUGAGGAGCGAAAGCGUAGGGAGCAAACAGGAUUAGAUACCCCAGUAGUCCCUGUCUCUUAUAA
rnacentral:rRNA from 1 species